UGCCAGCCGCCGCGGUAAUACGAAGGGGGCUAGCGUUGUUCGGAAUCACUGGGCGUAAAGCGCACGUAGGCGGAUUUGUAAGUUAGGGGUGAAAUCCCGGGGCUCAACCUCGGAACUGCCUUUGAUACUGCAAGUCUAGAGUCCGAGAGAGGUGAGUGGAAUUCCUAGUGUAGAGGUGAAAUUCGUAGAUAUUCGGAGGAACACCAGUGGCGAAGGCGCCAUCCUGGAUGAGUAUUGACGCUGAGGCGCGAAAGCGUGGGGAGCAAACAGGAUUAGAUA
rnacentral:rRNA from 1 species